CACAGAUUUUCUCCUCAUUCUCAGAGACUACAUGGCUAAAAGGUCUAGUAUGAUUUCCUGUAGAGAGGGGACCCUGAUCACUGACAUAGCACUGUCAUGGAGCAAGUGAUGGACUACAUCAUGUAAUAUAAACAUUAGUGUAUUUUGGGAGGUAACUACUCUGCACACAUAAUUGUCUAAAAUUCUCCUUUGUUAUGAUGACUGUGAUGUGUAAUUUUAUGUGUCAACUAUGCUAGGCUACAAGGCUCAGUUUUUGGUUGCUGUGAAGAUGUUAAUAAAUAUGAUGAACAUUUCUAUCAAUAGACUGUGAGUGAAGCGGAUUAUACUUCAGUUGAAAGUUUUAUGAAAAAGGAGUGAAAUAUCUGAAAAAAGAAGAAAUUUUGACUCCAGACUGCUUUGAAUCUGACACUGCAAAAUCUACUAUUUUCUGGGACUCCAUCCUUCCAGCCUUGCUGAUUUCAGACUUGUCAAUCUCCACAAUCAUGCACAUCAUUCACUGAAGAGAACACUAUUGACUAUAUAGAAGAGAAGUAUUUUGCUCUUCUUUGACUGGAAGUUUCCUAAGACAAAGAAAGAGCUUCAGCGUUGAAGGUGAGCAUCAUGCCAAUUCCCAAGCAAUCAGGGUGACAUCAGACAUAACUUCAGAUUCUGCAUCAAUGAUGUGAUAUCCAUCUGCUGAGCUGAAGAAAAUCUUUAGUGUUUUCUCAGCACCAAUAGCCAGGUCAACUGUCACUGGCUUAUGACCAAGUGUUGGAAAUACCUGCAAAUAUAAAACCAAAUAUGGCCAAAAGGCAUUCGGACUAAGAUCAGACACAUACCUUGAAGUGAACUUGACACGGUGCGUACGUUCCUGGUUAUGAAGCACAGAAGCAGGCAUCUCUUGGACCUUGAAGAUACAUUGUGAUACUAGCAAAAUUGUCAUAGGAAAAUGACACAGCUCUGAAAUUACUUCAGUCAACAAAUAUUCAACUGGAUGGAGAGUCAGAAGAUUUGAGUUUUAACCCCAGCUCUGCCAUUAACUCCAUCAUUCUGGAUCAUGGUUCACUGUGGGUAACUGAAACUGUGGAAAGCAAAUCUACGGAUCAAGAAAGACUACUGUACACAAAAAGUUCCAUCACUUGUUGGAUUUCCUCUUCUCUGAUACCUCACAUGUGAAAAUGAAUCAAUGUCUCACAAACUUCUGUUACUACUAAUUUGCUGUCUACAACACUGGGUAGGAAUAGUGAAAAAUGUUAUAUAGUAAUCUUCCUGAAAAGAGUGUUCACAUAUCUGUGAUUCCAAACAUUCCAGGUUCAAUAUUUUCUAAUAUACUUGUAAGUGGCUGAGGGAGCCUAUAUAUUUGAAAGAGCCUCAAGAAGUCUUAUUAAACGGAGGAACCUUCUUUGGGAACCACUUGGCUAAAGGCCUUUCUUGACAUUUUCUUUCAUUAUUGAGACACUUUUGCAACUGUAGGAUUUCUACCAUAGUUCCUAACACUCUUACUGCCACUACGUUUUGAUAUUUCCUAUGUGCCUCUCCUCUACCUAAUGUUUCUCAGGCUAAAGGUCAUGAAAUAUGACUUCUGACCAUAGUUUGAAAAGCUUCUGUUUGCUUGUCAUGGAAUGCUCUUAAGCUCGGCAUGAUUCAAGCUAUGCUUGUUUCUAAAAUGGGGCCCUGGAAAUUUGAUCCUAGAAGAACACAGGUCUUGUAGCUAUUGAAAACUGGAAUGCCACUCUAAAAAAGGCAAUUGUUUUAUAAAGAGAACUAAAAAGGGGAAAUUAAAACAAAAAGUCAGAUAGAUUUCUGAAGUUGGUUUUGAGGCUUUCAUUUUUUCCUUAGAUUUUUCUCCCUUUAGAGGCUAUAAUAAUUUGUUCUUGACUUUCCAGCUCAGCAAAUUUAGGAUAUUCAUCCAUCCACCAUCGCUUGACACAGAUGUACAUGGGAACACAUUUACUGUGACAGUAAUGAGUCUUAAGUUUCAGUUCCUCUCACUUGCAAUUCUAAGGCCUUAGAAAUGGCCCUAGUACUUCUGUAAAAAUAAUUUAAUAUUCUUUUUUCUAAGAAAUGGACUUCCUAAAUUAUAAAUGCUUUAAACUCAACAAAACUUGGAUUUAGCCCUGAAUAUACAACAUAAAGAGAACACAGUAAACUUGAAAAGUAUGUGUGUGUGCAUGAGUGUCUGUGUGUGAAAUCUCCAUAAUAUCACU